rnacentral:rRNA from 1 species
GAUCGGUAGCCGGACUGAGAGGUUGAACGGCCACAUUGGGACUGAGACACGGCCCAGACUCCUACGGGAGGCAGCAGUGGGGAAUAUUGCACAAUGGGGGAAACCCUGAUGCAGCGACGCCGCGUGGAGGAAGAAGGUCUUCGGAUUGUAAACUCCUGUUGUUGAGGAAGAUAAUGACGGUACUCAACAAGGAAGUGACGGCUAACUACGUGCCAGCAGCCGCGGUAAAACGUAGGUCACAAGCGUUGUCCGGAAUUACUGGGUGUAAAGGGAGCGCAGGCGGGCGAUCAAGUUGGAAGUGAAAUCCAUGGGCUCAACCCAUGAAGUGCUUUCAAAACUGAUUGUCUUGAGUAGUGCAGAGGUAGGCGGAAUUCCCGGUGUAGCGGUGGAAUGCGUAGAUAUCGGGAGGAACACCAGUGGCGAAGGCGGCCUACUGGGCACCAACUGACGCUGAGGCUCGAAAGUGUGGGUAGCAAACAGGAUUAGAUUCCCUGGUAGUCCACACCGUAAACGAUGAUUACUAGGUGUUGGAGGAUUGACCCUUUCAGUGCCGCAGUUAACACAAUAAGUAAUCCACCUGGGGAGUACGACCGCAAGGUUGAAACUCAAAGGAAUUGACGGGGGCCCGCACAAGCAGUGGAGUAUGUGGUUUAAUUCGACGCAACGCGAAGAACCUUACCAAGUCUUGACAUCCUGCGACGAUGCUAGAAAUAGUAUUUUCCUUCGGGACGCAGAGACAGGUGGUGCAUGGUUGUCGUCAGCUCGUGUCGUGAGAUGUUGGGUUAAGUCCCGCAACGAGCGCAACCCUUAUGGUCAGUUACUACGCAAGAGGACUCUGGCCAGACUGCCGUUGACAAACGGAGGAAGGUGGGGAUGACGUCAAAUCAUCAUGCCCUUUAUGACUUGGGCUACACACGUACUACAAUGGCGUUAAACAAAGAGAAGCAAGACCGCGAGGUGGAGCAAAACUCAGAAACAACGUCCCAGUUCGGACUGCAGGCUGCAACUCGCCUGCACGAAGUCGGAAUUGCUAGUAAUCGCAGAUCAGCAUGCUGCGGUGAAUACGUUCCCGGGCCUUGUACACACCGCCCGUCACACCAUGAGAGCCGGGGAGACCCGAAGUCGGUAGUCUAACCGCAAGGAGGACGCCGCCGAAGGUAAAACUGGUGAUUGGGGUGAAGUCGUAACAAGGUAGCCGUAGGAGAACCUGCGGCUG